AUUUUUUCCAUAAAGAAAUUUUGUUUGUGAAAAAACCAACGUCCAAGUUCAUACCGCCAUUUAGUGCCUUGAUUCUCGUACAUGAACUCUGCCACUCCUGAGACAGAGGAAGUAUGUUUCUUCUUACAAUUGACCCAACAAACGUGGCAGAUAUUGCUUACCCUUCCAUUAAUUUGAGUUCAGAGUUCUGUUUAAUUUUUGCUAUAAGUAUUAAUUAAUCCGAGUUUACAAGAUCAUCCGAGUU
rnacentral:lncRNA from 1 species